UCAUGCUUAGCGAUCCACGUGGAGGGAAAAGUGGCCUAGAGUUGUCGGGAAGUACAAGCCAUGCAACUGAAGAGUUCUUUGGUAAUUUAUAAGUUAGGUGGUCAAAGUCAGAUAAGGUUUAGUUGAGUCUAGACCAAUUGUAAGUUAGCUUUGUUAGUGGAUCUUUAUGGCUAGGUUAGUCCGAAUGUUUUUUUAUCCUUGUGAAGAGUUUUUCAAGGGUUUUUCUCCAUCAUCAAUUUCUACUUUUUAUACUUUUGAUAUAUAUGUUGGUGAUUGUUUAAUUUAGGGCUAAAUUGUAUUUAACCUUAAUCAUCUAGAAAUAAUAAAUAAGUG
rnacentral:lncRNA from 1 species